CAUUUGAAACGAACGAACGAACAAACUAGGGAGUAUAUUUUGGCCACACGUACAUCGUUCGAUGGGAACGGGCCGUCCCGUCCCAUCUUUGGCACGUACGUCACCACAAGAUCCUACAGAAGAAGACAACCAGCAGAACUUUCUCCAGACCCCUUGUCAGAUCACAGACACGAAUCUCAACCAGAUCGGGUCCUUUAUCUCCCAGAGCCAUUCCCCGCCACUCCCAACUGCCGCAACGGAUAAUAAGCUUAAGCAAGCGCAAGAACACACACACUGAUAAUCGCUGACACGGAAGAAGAAUACGAAAACAAGAGGGGAAUACAAAAGACUUACAAAGAUGCAGGCUUUCCUCUCUUCUUCGUCGAUCCUCGCGAACCCAUGCCCCAGAUCCUUGUUCCCGCGUCCAUCCACACAAUCCCAGCUUCUCCUCUCUUCCGUUUCUGGCGCGAGGACGAAUGCUGCUG
rnacentral:lncRNA from 1 species